UCACCUCCAGUCUAUUAUGGUGGGAAGGGGCUAUUUAUCAGAGGAAGAAUACCCUCAUAUGGAAAAGCUAUCCUUUUGUAUGUCGCUGAAACAAUUCCAAAAUUGAAGAGUAGAACUCAGAACAAAGGUGGAAGUGAUCAGUCACAAAAUGUUCAAAAUGCAAAGAAAGGCAAUAAAAAGAAAAGACGUUAGAUGCGAUAUGAAAUGUAUAUGUCUGAAAACUGAGUCUUGAUUUUUUUUUUAAUAAAGUAUUUUAAAAGCAUUA